CUUACCGGGUCCGGACACACUGAGGAUUGACAGGCAAUAUGAAUAUAUUCCUUUGUGAAUUAUAUUUUGUUAAAUAUGCUAGUCCUUUCAUGAUUAUGUGAUAGGUGGUGCAUGGCCGUUCUUAGUUCGUGGAGUGAUCUGUCUGCUUAAUUGCGUUUCACUAAGGGCUCAUAAUUAAUUGUAUGUUUCGUUUGCACUCUUUGACCCCUCUUCACGGAGCGUGUGUCUUAGAAAUUGCAGCGUGCGUACUUUUGGGUCCUGAAAGCAACGAACGUGACCGCAACCUCUUGUUGCCUUUAUUACCAAACGCAAUCU
rnacentral:rRNA from 1 species